AGAGUAGAGUGGCGCACGGGUGAGUAACGCGUAAGUUAUCUACCCUCCCAUCUGGAAUAACUCACCGAAAGGUGUGCUAAUACCGGAUACGUUGGAAACAAGAAAGGUGGCCUCUAUUUAUACGCUACCGUGGGGGGAUGAGCUUGCGUACCAUUAGCUAGUUGGUAGGGUAAUGGCCUACCAAGGCAACGAUGGUUAGCGGGUCUGAGAGGAUGAUCCGCCACACUGGAACUGGAACACGGACCAGACUCCUACGGGAGGCAGCAGUGAGGAAUAUUGCGCAAUGGGGGAAACCCUGACGCAGCGACGCCGCGUGGAUGAUGAAGGCCUUUGGGUCGUAAAAUCCUGUCAGAUGGAAAGAAAUGCUAUUGGUUUAAUAUGCCUUUAGUUUGACGGUACCAUCAAAGGAAGCACCGGCUAACUCCGUGCCAGCAGCCGCGGUAAUACGGAGGGUGCAAGCGUUGUUCGGAAUUACUGGGCGUAAAGCGCGCGUAGGUGGUCAUAUAAGUCAGAUGUGAAAGUCCACGGCUCAACCGUGGAAGUGCAUUUGAAACUGUAUGACUUGAGUAUUGGAGGGGGUAGUGGAAUUCCCGGUGUAGAGGUGAAAUUCGUAGAUAUCGGGAGGAAUACCGGUGGCGAAGGCGACUACCUGGCCAAAUACUGACACUGAGGUGCGAAAGCGUGGGGAGCAAACAGGAUUAGAUACCCUGGUAGUCCACGCCGUAAACGAUGUCAACUAGGUGUUGGGAAGGUUAAUCUUCUCAUUGCCGCAGCUAACGCAUUAAGUUGACCGCCUGGGGAGUACGGUCGCAAGAUU
rnacentral:rRNA from 1 species